UACGUAGGUGGCAAGCGUUGUCCGGAAUUAUUGGGCGUAAAGCGCGCGCAGGCGGCCCUUUAAGUCUGAUGUGAAAGCCCACGGCUCAACCGUGGAGGGUCAUUGGAAACUGGGGGACUUGAGUGCAGGAGAGAAGAGUGGAAUUCCACGUGUAGCGGUGAAAUGCGUAGAGAUGUGGAGGAACACCAGUGGCGAAGGCGACUCUUUGGCCUGUAACUUACGCUGAGGCGCGAAAGCGUGGGGAGCAAACAGG
rnacentral:rRNA from 1 species